GGUUGCUUCAUGGACCAAGUACUGGGUGGCACUGUGUGGAGCAAAACUCUAUUACUACUCAGCCAAGUCCUUAAAACCAACAGAAAGAAAGCAUUUCAAAUCAAGUUUGAGUAAGAGUGUGUCAGUUGUGGGUUGGAUGGUGAUGAUGGCUGAUGAUCCAGAGCAUCCAGAUGUUUUCCAGCUUACAGACUCUGAAAGGGGAAACUCUUACAAAUUCCAGGCUGGUAAUAGAGGGAAUGCGAUGCUCUGGUUUAAGCAUUUGAGUUCUGCCUGCCAAAGCAACAGACAACAGGUACCAAUUACUACAAUGUUAAAU